GUGGGGAAUCUUCCGCAAUGGACGAAAGUCUGACGGAGCGACGCCGCGUGAGGGAAGAAGGCCUAACGGUUGUAAACCUCUGUCAUAUGGGAAGAAGGAAUGACAGUACCAUAUGAGGAAGCUCCGGCUAACUACGUGCCAGCAGCCGCGGUAAUACGGAGGGGGCUAGCGUUGUUCGGAAUUACUGGGCGUAAAGCGCACGUAGGCGGCUUGGUAAGUUAGGGGUGAAAGCCUGGAGCUCAACUUCAGAAUUGCCCUUAAGACUGCUUCGCUUGAACACGGGAGAGGUGAGUGGAAUUCCGAGUGUAGAGGUGAAAUUCGUAGAUAUUCGGAAGAACACCAGUGGCGAAGGCGGCUCACUGGACCGUAGUUGACGCUGAGGUGCGAAAGCGUGGGGAGCAAACAGGAUUAGAAACCCCUGUAGUCC
rnacentral:rRNA from 1 species